AACGAGGAGGCCCAGGCAGUGAUCAACAUCCUGACCCUAGCUUUUAACUACAUCCUUUCGGGGAGGGAAGAGGAAAGCGCCAGGAGUAAGAUCUGUUUCACCCAACACUUGACCGACCCCAGCUGCAGCCCGGACCACCUGCCUUCCCAGCCGGCCUCUCCCGCGUCGGGCAGCCCCUUCCUCGGCCCGGCCACACAGCCCCCACCGACCCGCCACUGCUCACAGACCCCGGCCCGAGACGCGCCUCCCGGAGGCUUUGGCUGCCCCAAACCCGGCCCCUUCGGCCACGGGGAGCCCGGGCCUCGAGAAACCGACCAGCUGCCGUCGCCGAGGGGUAAGGUUACCGCUCCGCGCCGCGGCCGGCCUGCAACCCGGCCACCUGCAGGGCCUGGCAGGCGCCCGAACUCUCCCUCCUGCCCGCGGCCCGCGCCGGGACAGGACGGGCCCGGCCGCCACCUGGGAGGCGGGGAGGCCGGCGGCCCCUCGCGACCCGCGGCGACCCCGCCGCCAGGCCCCCACCCCGGGUCCCGGACGUCCUGCGGCGUCAGCGCCGCCCCCACAGCCGCUCACCCGGGCUGGGACAGUCUUGCGUCGGAGAGACCGCGCAGCGCGAGAGGGCUGGGGGAGGUGGCCGGAGGGAGAGAAAGAGGGAGAGCGCCCAGCACCGCUUCGGCCUCCUCCACCCGCCAAGGAGGGGAAAGAGGAGAGCACAACAGCCCGCGCCUCGCACCCUCCGCCGCCGCCGCCGCCGCCGCCGCCGCGCGCGCCCGCCGCCGCCUCAGCCUCGGGGGAGGCCACUAUGCUCGUGCCCGCGCACGCCGCGCAGCUCUCCCAGUCGCCCCAGCGCCCUCCUGCUCCUCGCCGCCCACGCGCCUUCCUGCUGCGGCCGCCUCCCGCGCUCCUCCCCUGCUCGCACGCCUGCGCCCUUUCCGGUCGCGCGGGCCAAUGGCAGCGCGCCCCUAUUACAUAAGCGCUAGGGGCGGGGCCUGGCGGCGACGGCGGCCCCUGUGA
rnacentral:lncRNA from 1 species